rnacentral:rRNA from 1 species
AGAGUUUGAUCCUGGCUCAGAGCGAACGCUGGCGGCAGGCCUAACACAUGCAAGUCGAACGGACCCUUCGGGGUUAGUGGCGGACGGGUGAGUAACACGUGGGAACGUGCCUUUAGGUUCGGAAUAGCUCCUGGAAACGGGUGGUAAUGCCGAAUGUGCCCUUCGGGGGAAAGAUUUAUCGCCUUUAGAGCGGCCCGCGUCUGAUUAGCUAGUUGGUGAGGUAAUGGCUCACCAAGGCGACGAUCAGUAGCUGGUCUGAGAGGAUGACCAGCCACAUUGGGACUGAGACACGGCCCAAACUCCUACGGGAGGCAGCAGUGGGGAAUCUUGCGCAAUGGGCGAAAGCCUGACGCAGCCAUGCCGCGUGAAUGAUGAAGGUCUUAGGAUUGUAAAAUUCUUUCACCGGGGACGAUAAUGACGGUACCCGGAGAAGAAGCCCCGGCUAACUUCGUGCCAGCAGCCGCGGUAAUACGAAGGGGGCUAGCGUUGCUCGGAAUUACUGGGCGUAAAGGGCGCGUAGGGCGGACAUUUAAGUCAGGGGUGAAAUCCCCAGAGCUCAACUCUGGAACUGCCUUUGAUACUGGAUGUCUUGAGUGUGAGAGAGGUAUGUGGAACUCCGAGUGUAGAGGUGAAAUUCGUAGAUAUUCGGAAGAACACCAGUGGCGAAGGCGACAUACUGGCUCAUUACUGACGCUGAGGCGCGAAAGCGUGGGGAGCAAACAGGAUUAGAUACCCUGGUAGUCCACGCCGUAAACGAUGAUUGCUAGUUGUCGGGCUGCAUGCAGUUCGGUGACGCAGCU